rnacentral:pre_miRNA from 1 species
UGGUCAUGACUUCAGCAAUUUUGUGAUUUUUUAUAAAAUGGCUAUUGUUAUGUCCUCG